rnacentral:rRNA from 1 species
CAGCCGCCGCGGGAAUACGUAGGUGGCAAGCGUUGUCCGGAAUUAUUGGGCGUAAAGGGCUCGCAGGCGGUUUCUUAAGUCUGAUGUGAAAGCCCCCGGCUCAACCGGGGAGGGUCAUUGGAAACUGGGAAACUUGAGUGCAGAAGAGGGGAGUGGAAUUCCACGUGUAGCGGUGAAAUGCGUAGAGAUGUGGAGGAACACCAGUGGCGAAGGCGACUCUCUGGUCUGUAACUGACGCUGAGGAGCGAAAGCGUGGGGAGCGAACAGGAUUAGAUACCCCGGUAGUCCCUGUCUCUUAUAC